CGUCAGGCAACUCCGUAGUCCCGUUAAGUUGGCGGCAAAUGUGAAAAAAAAAGUAAAGUACAGUACAGUUUGGCCGGUUUUUAUCGUGUGGUGAAAUACAUCAAUUGAUUGAGACAAAAUGUGUUUGCAUUUGAACAAUGCUUUGGUGGACGACUACAGCUCGUUGUGGGCGUGACUGGCGGGCAAAUGGGGCUGCAAGUUCCACCAAAAAUCGGCCCGAUGCUGCAUUAACUCGUUUUCAAGUCGGAAAAUGGAUGCGGCGUCCUCCAUUUUAGUGCCCAAUCGGACAUAUUCCACUGGAUAACUGGAAGCGGGACUCCAGUUCGGCAGAUGGAAGCUGGCAUUCAUGGGAUUUGGAUUGCUGUGGAAAGUGGAAGUGCCAUUAGUUUCGGCUCAAAAAGUUGUCUUCAAGUGCGUUUUACCCAGUCUUUGCAAAGCUAACCCACAGAUGGAGCAUCAGUUCGCGGAGCUCCAGAUCCUUUUGCGUUGGUACCGCACUUACGAAUAGCUCCCGGCCAAUGGGGAACAGAUACUGGAGCUCCUCUGCGUGACACGCUCCGUAGAACUCGUUGCGUCCGCCCUUGAAAAUCUCCGUAAAACUGGCGGCUCCCUUGUGAUCGAAUAGGUAUACAUAAGUGGGGGCCACAUCCUCUUGGGACAUCCGGAGGCGCAAGUACUCAUCAAUUCCGGCCACGAACCAUCCGUCCGAGAUCAGCUGAAAUGGUAAAUGGCCGAUCCCCCACUCACGUCGGUCAAAUUCUGGUGGUUGACCUUAUCGUAAUCGUGGCCCGACUUGAAGUAGAAGCUUUCGAUGCGCUGCGUAAUCCUCUGUCGCACGGAGUCGUCGUGGUGAUCGUAGUUCAGCACAACUGGCAGAACCUGCUCAAACUGAGACUUAAACUCGGCCAAAAGCUGGGGAAGGUUAAGCAGGGCGGCGGUUUUAAGGAGACCUUCCUCGGCGGUGGCGCCCACCAUCAGUGGAAGUUCCAGUCCAUGUGGCUUGGCCGCCUGGCGAGGUGCCACUGUGAGAAAGGCCCCAUCGUGCUCCGGUUCGAUUACGGGCGGAAAUGGUAUCAUCGGAUCAAAGUCCCAGACCUGCAAUACAAAGCCAAAGGUGAAGCUUAACCUUCCAUUCACCUAAUUUGUUUAAUAACAGCUUGAAUGGUUGCAUUGUACUCAUCUUUGGUCAAAUACCACCUCAACUUGUAUCACAAAAGACUAAGCUGAUGUCACUUGCAACAAAAGUAUUUUACAUAAGUGUUAAACUUGAGAGCCUUCAUUGAAUCUAAGAUUGAUUAAAUUGGUUAAGAGGCUAAUGGCUUAGGCUUUUGUAUAGAAAUUGUAUACGUAAAUCGUUAAAUUUAAAAUGUCAAGAGAAGUUUCCUUAAUCUUUUACAAUUAUUAAUUCCCUGCCCAAAUCUUUUGCAGACUGCGGAUACUUACGAACAUGUCGUAUAGGGCGGCCACUAUAUCCUCGGCUGGCCUCUUCCUCAGGCACUCCAGUUUCUCUGGCCAUUCUCCGGCGGUGCCGCAGCCCACUAUCUUGGCCAAUUUGGUUGCCCUUCCAGCGGCCACUCCCUUAUGCGCAGGCUGUGCCCAGGGAUUGAAAUAGGUGCCAGAUUGGGCGAUACCACGGUGCAGUAAGCCGCGCGACUUUUCCGACAGCAUGUGAUAGGUGACACUGGCACCUCCGGCGCUCUCACCAAAGACCGUUACACUAUUUGGAUCACCACCAAAUGAUGCGAUGUUCGCACGAACCCAGCGCAGCACCUCCAGUUGAUCCUUUAAGCCAUUGUUGCCGGGACAAUCGACCGUCUCUGUGCUAAGGAAUCCCAAAGGUCCCAAUCGAAAGUUGGCCGAAACCAAAACGAUGUCGUGGUCGAGCAGAAAAUCAGGACCGUAGAAGCUGCUAAUACCGGAGCCACACUGCCAGCCGCCGCCAUGGAACCACACCAUCACAGGCAAAGAUCCAUUGGUUUUCGGCCUCUCCGGCGUGUAAACGUUCAGAUAGAGGCAAUCCUCGGAACCCUCCAGGGUCAUGUCGCGCCGGAAGGGAUCGCGCUGCAGACAAAUGGGUGCAUCCUUGAUCGCUAAGCGUUCACCCUCCCAAGGUGCCUUCGGCACCGGCGGACGAAAGCGAAGAUCAUCGAGUGGUGGCUCUGCAUAUGGGACACCCAUAAAAGCCCGCAUGUGCCGGCCAUUGUGGCUGGUUAAAUGGCGUCCAAUAAGCCAUCCGCCGUGGGAUAAACGCACAUGCAAACACUGCGAAUUGCGUCCAUCGCUCCAUUGUAUGCAAAUGCACAACAAAAUCACCCGUAUAGACCAAAGGCCAGCGUUUUUUGACAUCGUGUUCCUGCGCUUGAAGUCCGAGUUCAGACUGAUUCCGCUGCUGCACAGCACGCGUAUUUUUAAGAUUACAACACCAUCAUAAAGCUAGCAAUUUCAGCGCGCCAGCUUCCGAAGCUAACUUGUUUGCCGAAUUUUUUCUUCAGCGGCCCGUCUCUUAGCUCAUUAAUACUGCUUAUAUUCAUACCCUCAGCGGAGUAUUUUAAAUGUGGAACCCAUAUUCCAACUGGAAGGGUAUGCAGACGCCAAGUUGAUCAGCGUGAUCAACAUCGCCAUCAGCACAACAUCAAACAUCGACAUUAAUUUCUGAUGUUUAGGUUUCGUUUUGGAACAUUGCGCAAAUUUGGUCAAAUCGAGCCGAAAACCGUGGUUCGAGGUU